UACGGAGGGUGCAAGCGUUAUCCGGAUUCACUGGGUUUAAAGGGUGCGUAGGUGGGUUGGUAAGUCAGUGGUGAAAUCUCCGUGCUUAACAUGGAAACUGCCAUUGAUACUACUGAUCUUGAAUUUUCUGGAGGUAAGCGGAAUAAUGUCAUGUAGCGGUGAAAUGCUUAGAUAUGACAUAGAACACCAAUUGCGAAGGCAGCUUGCUACAGGGAUAUUGACACUGAGGCACGAAAGCGUGGGGAUCAAACAGG
rnacentral:rRNA from 1 species